CUGGAAAUGUAAGUUUCAGUUUCAUUUCCUGUGAAAGCAAAGACUGGGACAAACAACUGAUAAGAGAUCAGCAAAGGCAAAAACACAGUUUUUCAUGGCAUCACACAGUUCUGCAGCAACUGGCGAUUUGGAAAUGAACGUGAAAUUGGAAGAGAGAAGCAGUGUGUAAAAUUUAAAAUGGACCAUCAAUUGGGAAAGAGAAUGACAGGCUAUGAUCAUUUCCUGAAGUGGUAAAUGAAGGAGGCUUGAAAAUAAGAAUAUUCAUAUUUGGAUCUAAAGAGAACU